GUUUAGCAGAGAGAAGCAGAGAGACGUGAGCAGAGUGAGAGAGAAGCAACAAGUGACCGCUGGUCUUUUCCUUGAAGAAAUCGAUUUAUUUGAAUUAUUUUGAAGUUAUGGUGGACUCUGGAGCUGGACUGGUAAACAGAGAAAGGACAGAAGAGAUGAAGAAAGCAAACAGGAGAGUGACAGAGCCCAGUCUGAAGCACUUCAGAAUAGCUUCUCAGAGAUGGAGAGAACUAAAGGAGUUAAAAUGACUGAAAACAGAUGCUGGGUGGAUCCUCUUCCUUGAAACAGAUAAUGUGGCAUCGUGUCCUCCUCCAUGUCAGAGACCAGCACCGCUGCUCUUUUGGAAGCUGUGACCACGGGCCACUUGAUGAGAGCAGCAGAGAUAAGCCAUGGAUGGUGUGAGACUCUCCAUCACAUCAGGCUUGUGCAUCCAUCAUCCCUGAUAAACGCUGACUGAAGGAGAAGUUUACCAACUUUCACACAACACCUGACCUGGAAUCCUUUCAGAACCACAUCCUCUUGUAUGCUGCAAAAUGCUUUUCAUUCAGCUCACCAGUGUAUGAGGCGCACACUCCUCUGGCACCACACCCACAGGCCUGCAGCCCUGACUCUGAUGGUAACAAUAAAGGAAUACUUGGAAGAAGAUUGAAAUCUGGGAAGAGACUUCCCAAAACAAGAACACUAAGACCUGAUGAUCAAAGAAGACUUGGACAUCUUCCUGGGAUUCCUCCACCACCUACAACAGAACUAGCACAAGCAUGCAUCCAAUGCAGAGAAGUUUGUACACAUGUAGGCAUAUUUUUCUAGCAUCACUUACAUGACAAACAAGAAUAAAUAUUAUAUAUCUGAUAUCUGCAGCAUAGUCUGAAUAUUGAUAAAGCAGCUUGGCUGAUCAUAAAAGAAUCUCUGUUGUUCAUCACACACAGCAGUUUAA